AACGAACGCUGGCGGCAUGCCUAACACAUGCAAGCCGAUCGAGAUCUUCGGGUCUAGUGGCGCACGGGUGCGUAACGCGUGGGAAUCUGCCCUUUGGUUCGGAAUAACAGUUGGAAACGACUGCUAAUACCGGAUGAUGACGAAAGUCCAAAGAUUUAUCGCCAGAGGAUGAGCCCGCGUAGGAUUAGCUAGUUGGUGUGGUAAAGGCGCACCAAGGCGACGAUCCUUAGCUGGUCUGAGAGGAUGAUCAGCCACACUGGGACUGAGACACGGCCCAGACCCCUACGGGAGGCAGCAGUGGGGAAUAUUGGACAAUGGGCGAAAGCCUGAUCCAGCAAUGCCGCGUGAGUGAUGAAGGCCAUAGGGUUGUAAAGCUCUUUUACCCGGGAUGAUAAUGACAGUACCGGGAGAAUAAGCUCCGGCUAACUCCGUGCCAGCCGCCGCAGUAA
rnacentral:rRNA from 1 species